rnacentral:rRNA from 1 species
UACACAAAUAUGCAAGGCGGGCUGGAACCUCUCGGGGUUACAGCCUUGCUGAAUUAUUCACCCUUGUCUUUUGCGUACUUCUUGUUUCCUUGGUGGGUUCGCCCACCACUAGGACAAACAUAAACCUUUUGUAAUUGCAAUCAGCGUCAGUAACAAAUUAAUAAUUACAACUUUCAACAACGGAUCUCUUGGUUCUGGCAUCGAUGAAGAACGCAGCGAAAUGCGAUAAGUAGUGUGAAUUGCAGAAUUCAGUGAAUCAUCGAAUCUUUGAACGCACAUUGCGCCCUUUGGUAUUCCAAAGGGCAUGCCUGUUCGAGCGUCAUUUGUACCCUCAAGCUUUGCUUGGUGUUGGGCGUCUUGUCUCUAGCUUUGCUGGAGACUCGCCUUAAAGUAAUUGGCAGCCGGCCUACUGGUUUCGGAGCGCAGCACAAGUCGCACUCUCUAUCAGCAAAGGUCUAGCAUCCAUUAAGCCUUUUUUUCAACUUUUGACCUCGGAUCAGGUAGGGAUACCCGCUGAACUUAAGCAUA